AAUACCAUUUUUUUUUUUUGAACAAUCGUAGGUGAUAAAAAAAAAAAAAAAAAAAAAAAAAAAAAAAAAUAUUUCGUAUUCUCUCUUUUGUGUUUACUUAUUCUUAAACGUGUACACAAUAAUAACCCUUCAAUCUCCCAUUCAUCGGCUUCCAUGAAAAUUAAUAAUUAUGUCUGUCCAUUCAUCACCAUUUUAUGGUUGAUUAUUCCCAAAACAAUUAUUACAAUGAAAUUAAAGAGUAAUUCAUUUUAUUAUAUUAAAAAUAAUUUGUAUCUGUAUGAACAUCAUAAUAAUAAACUUCGUCAUCGAAAUAAACUUAAAAAAAAAAAAAUAUAUAAUGCCGCCAUUAAUAUUAUUGAUAAUUCCCAAAAUAGUAUUACCAAAAUUAGUAAUGUAGGUAAUCAUCAGAUAAGUAUAAGUGAUUUAGUACCUAAGAUAAAUACAUAUGAAGAAGCAUAUGACAUGAUAAAUACCGAAUUAGAAAAAAAGAAAAAAGAACAUUUAGAUUACAUUGAGAAUUUGAACACGUUUGACGCAUUUUUAAGACAAUAUUAUAAAGAAAUAAAAAAAAAUAAAACAUGUACACCUGAAACUUUUGUAUAUAAUUAUUUAACAUUUUUCGAAGCUUUCAAAAAAUAUAGAAAUUAUAUAUUUGAUAAUAUACAUAAAUACGAUUCAAGUUUAUACAAAUGGUCGUUAGAUUUUUGGGUACCACUUAUAAAUCUAGAAGCGUCCAAAUUCAUUGGUAUUCCAAAUAUUAGUAAAAUAAAAAAUUGGUUAAAAAAUAAUGAAAAUGUAUUCAUAUUAAGUAAUCAUCAUAUAGAAACGGAUGCAAAUAUAAUCAAAUUUUUUUUUCAUAAUAAUGGUGCUGAAGAUAUUGCAAAAAAUAUAAUCUUUAUUGGAGGUCAUAAAAUAAGAAAUGAUCCCUUAUCAAAACCAUUUAGUGUAGCAACUAAUUUACUUUGUAUCUAUUCUAAAAAGUACACAGAUUACCCACCACAUUUAAAAGAAGAAAAAACAGCAUUUAAUCAUAAGUCUCUUAAUGCUUUAAAUAAUUUAUUAAGUCAAGGAAAAC
rnacentral:lncRNA from 1 species